CUUUACAAUAUUCUUUUUAUUAGAAGUUGUUAUUUAGGAUUCUGUUUGCAAUCAAUAAAUUAAUGAAACAUCAAACUUAAUUCAUAAUGGCGACAGGAGUUUGUUGUUUACAAUGAUCUAAAUCAGAUUUCUUAACAGUUUUAGAUUAUUAUAGCUUUGAAACAAUGAUAAUGAAAGUUUUUUCAUCGUUCUAAAUUUAUGCUACAGUUAUGGUCGUAAAAG
rnacentral:lncRNA from 1 species